rnacentral:rRNA from 1 species
UAUCUGAUCGCCUUCGAACCUCUAACUUUCGUUCUUGAUUAAUGAAAACAUUCUUGGACCGUCGCAAGACGAACUAAAGCGAAAGCAUUUGCCAAGAAUGUUUUCAUUAAUCAAGAACGAAAGUUAGAGGUUCGAAGGCGAUCAGAUACCGCCCUAGUUCUAACCAUAAACGAUGCCAACCAGCAAUCCGUCUGAGUUCCUUAAAUGACUCGACGGGCGGCUUCCGGGAAACCAAAGUUUUUCGGUUCCAGGGGAAGUAUGGUUGCAAAGCUGAAACUUAAAGGAAUUGACGGAAGGGCACCACCAGGAGUGGAGCCUGCGGCUUAAUUUGACCCAACACGGGAAAACUCACCCGGCCCGGACACUGGAAGGAUUGACAGAUUGAGAGCUCUUUCUUGAUUCAGUGGGUGGUGGUGCAUGGCCGUUCUUAGUUGGUGGAGCGAUUUGUCUGGUUAAUUCCGAUAACGAACGAGACUCUAGCCUACUAAAUAGGUCGCAUGAUUACAAACUCAUGCGAGACUUCUUAGAGGGACAGGCGGCGAUUCAGCCGCACGAAACAGAGCAAUAACAGGUCUGUGAUGCCCUUAGAUGUCCGGGGCCGCACGCGCGCUACACUGAAGUGAUCAGCGUGCAUAGUAUUCCUGCUCAGACAUGAGUGGGAAACCCAAUGAACCUUCUUCGUGAUAGGGACUGGAGAUUGUAAUUAUUCUCCACGAACGAGGAAUUCCCAGUAAGCGCGAGUCAUAAGCUCGCGUUGAUUACGUCCCUGCCCUUUGUACACACCGCCCGUCGCUACUACCGAUUGAAUGUUUUAGUGAGGUCUUCAGACUGGCCGGUGCAGCUGCCUCGUGCAGCCGCGCUGUGUUUGGGAAGAUGCCCAAACUUGAACAUUUAGAGGAAGUAAAAGUC